rnacentral:rRNA from 1 species
UUAACACAUGCAAGUCGAGGGGCAGCAUGGUCUUAGCUUGCUAAGGCCGAUGGCGACCGGCGCACGGGUGAGUAACGCGUAUCCAACCUGCCUUACACUCUUGGACAGCCUUCUGAAAGGGAGAUUAAUACAAGAUGUUAUCAUGAGUAAGCAUUUUCGCAUGAUUAAAGGUUUACCGGUGUAAGAUGGGGAUGCGUUCCAUUAGAUAGUAGGCGGGGUAACGGCCCACCUAGUCUUCGAUGGAUAGGGGUUCUGAGAGGAAGGUCCCCCACAUUGGAACUGAGACACGGUCCAAACUCCUACGGGAGGCAGCAGUGAGGAAUAUUGGUCAAUGGACGAGAGUCUGAACCAGCCAAGUAGCGUGAAGGAUGAAGGUUCUAUGGAUUGUAAACUUCUUUUAUACGGGAAUAAACGAAUCCACGUGUGGAUUUUUGCAUGUACCGUAUGAAUAAGGAUCGGCUAACUCCGUGCCAGCAGCCGCGGUAAUACGGAGGAUCCGAGCGUUAUCCGGAUUUAUUGGGUUUAAAGGGAGCGUAGAUGGGUUGUUAAGUCAGUUGUGAAAGUUUGCGGCUCAACCGUAAAAUUGCAAUUGAUACUGGCAGUCUUGAGUACAGUUGAGGUAGGCGGAAUUCGUGGUGUAGCGGUGAAAUGCUUAGAUAUCACGAAGAACUCCGAUUGCGAAGGCAGCUUACUAACCUGUAACUGACAUUGAUGCUCGAAAGUGUGGGUAUCAAACAGGAUUAGACACCCUGGUAGUCCACACGGUAAACGAUGAAUACUCGCUGUAGGCGAUAUACAGUCUGCGGCCAAGCGAAAGCAUUAAGUAUUCCACCUGGGGAGUACGCCGGCAACGGUGAAACUCAAAGGAAUUGACGGGGGCCCGCACAAGCGGAGGAACAUGUGGUUUAAUUCGAUGAUACGCGAGGAACCUUACCCGGGCUUAAAUUGCAACCGAAUAUGGCGGAAACGCUAUAGCUAGCAAUAGCGGUUGUGAAGGUGCUGCAUGGUUGUCGUCAGCUCGUGCCGUGAGGUGUCGGCUUAAGUGCCAUAACGAGCGCAACCCUUGCCGAUAGUUACUAACAGGUCAUGCUGAGGACUCUGUCGGGACUGCCAUCGUAAGAUGUGAGGAAGGUGGGGAUGACGUCAAAUCAGCACGGCCCUUGCGUCCGGGGCUACACACGUGUUACAAUGGGGGGUACAGAGGGCUGCUACCACGCAGGUGGAUGCCAAUCCCAAAAACCUCUCUCAGUUCGGAUUGAAGUCUGCAACCCGACUUCAUGAAGCUGGAUUCGCUAGUAAUCGCGCAUCAGCCACGGCGCGGUGAAUACGUUCCCGGGCCUUGUACACACCGCCCGUCAAGCCAUGGGAGCCGGGGGUACCUGAAGUGCGUAACCGCAAGGAGCGCCCUAGGGUAAAACUGGUGACUGGGGCUAAGUCAUAA